GCUGGGACCACUGGGACUCCAUCAAUGCCAUCCUCUAUUGGCUGCUCCAAAUUAUGUUUUGCCUUAUGAAGAUCAUCUCGUCCCCUUAAUUCCACUGGCUGUGAAUUAGCAUUGCACUGAGUAGAAUGUUAUGGACAGUGCAAGAAGAUAGAGAGCCAAUGAACAUAAUUAGCUGAGCUGAGCUGUUGAAACUAACCUCUAUCAAUCUGUGAAGCUCAAACACUUGACGAAGUAAACAAUGAUUUCAUAUUUAUGAAUGUGGGCUAAUGUGAAGUCGGAAUGUUUGUAAUCCAUGCUUGUACCUGUUCACAUCAAUUUUCUCGCAAGCUUAACAAGGCAUUUAAUCUGUUUUGUAGAGGCCCAAGAUCAAAGGUUACACACUGGAAACAAAUUGUUCUUUAUCUUGAUGAAGUUCUAACGAUUUGCGAGGAUGAAGUAAUUUAAGGGAGCAUAACUGUAGAGUAAGAAGAAUCCACGGGACAAUCAACUACUCAUUAAAUGGGAAACAUUGUCAAGUUUUGAUAGUUUUUGCUGACCAAGUAAACUAUGAUUCAUGUGAACUCCCGUGCUUCGAAGUUGGAAUUGUUGUGUUAAACCAUUCUGUAGUAGUUCAUAAUAUUUUAGGAAAUUAUAUCAACCUUUUGAUUAAGAUAAGAGAGAUAUUAGAGAUAUUAAUUGAUGUAACUUUAUUUGA